rnacentral:rRNA from 1 species
UACGUAGGGUGCGAGCGUUGUCCGGAAUUAUUGGGCGUAAAGAGCUCGUAGGCGGUCUGUCGCGUCGGCUGUGAAAACUCGGGGCUCAACCCCGAGCCUGCAGUCGAUACGGGCAGACUAGAGUGCGGUAGGGGAGACUGGAAUUCCUGGUGUAGCGGUGAAAUGCGCAGAUAUCAGGAAGAACACCAAUGGCGAAAGCAGCUCUCUGGGACGGUACUGACGCUGAGACGCGAAAGCGUGGGGAGCGAACAGG